rnacentral:rRNA from 1 species
GAUGAACGCUGGCGGCGUGCCUAAUACACGCAAGUCGAGCGAACAGACGAGGAGCUUGCUCCUCUGACGUUAGCGGCGGACGGGUGAGUAACACGUGGAUAACCUACCUAUAAGACUGGGAUAACUUCGGGAAACCGGAGCUAAUACCGGAUAAUAUAUUGAACCGCAUGGUUCAAUAGUGAAAGACGGUUUUGCUGUCACUUAUAGAUGGAUCCGCGCCGCAUUAGCUAGUUGGUAAGGUAAAGGCUUACCAAGGCAACGAUGCGUAGCCGACCUGAGAGGGUGAUCGGCCACACUGGAACUGAGACACGGUCCAGACUCCUACGGGAGGCAGCAGUAGGGAAUCUUCCGCAAUGGGCGAAAGCCUGACGGAGCAACGCCGCGUGAGUGAUGAAGGUCUUCGGAUCGUAAAACUCUGUUAUUAGGGAAGAACAAAUGUGUAAGUAACUAUGCACGUCUUGACGGUACCUAAUCAGAAAGCCACGGCUAACUACGUG